rnacentral:lncRNA from 1 species
UCAUGUAGCGCCAGCCACACCAGGAACAGAAGGGUGCCGGGUACCUUCCGCAUGCUUGGUAUUCUCCCCGCGGGGCUCUGACCGCUGCCGCUCUCAGGCACCUGUCUUUCCUCUCCGUCCCAGAAUGGAGCCAAGACAAGGGAAUAAACGAAAUUCAAUAGUACACGGAGAUCGGGUGUCUGGGCAGCGUCUUGGAAAAACUAUCCACUACAGUACAGGUCAAGUGAAGUUCUUCUGCUGAUAUGUUCUGCUACUGCAUAAGAGACGGAAUCUAUGUUGCCUCGACUGGUCCUGAACUCCUGGGCUAAAGCGAUCCUUCUGCCUUGGCCUCCCAAAGUGCGAGGAUUAUAGGUGUGAGCCACCCAACCUGGCCUUUGCCAGUAUUUUUAAAUCCAAACACCUAUGCAUGGUGCUUACUAAUAACACAGUGGUAUUCUAAACAUUUUUCACCUAUUAUUUAAUCUUUAUUAUUAUCACCAUGUUACAGAUAAGGACCCUGGCUAAAUAGCUUACCCAACAUUACUCCGUUAAUA